rnacentral:lncRNA from 1 species
UAUAGUCGCCGUCACGUAAAAUUGGCACCAUGAUUUUUGUCGAAAUUUUUAAAAAUAUUAGUCGCAUUCACUCGAGACGAUGUUUUUCAAAUAGCGGAAUAAAAAUCCAUUCCAAAUAUCCACUACUGUCCUACCUUUUAUUGUGUUUGCACUGUAUAAUCCUGACCUUCACAUUAUCCAAGAUCAUUUUCAAUGGUGGAAUCCGACAUUGUUAUUACCGGAAGUGUUGCUGUGGAGUUUCACGUACAGUUAAUUUGCAUAUUUCUCGGAGCCACUCGGAUCUUUUCAUCAAUUUUAAGGUAAGUCAAGAGAAAUAUUUUAUAGCAGACGAUAGACGACCAUAAACAAAGAAGAACAUUUACGCAAACAUAAUAUAUUACUGAAUUUAUCGUACCAUAAUUAUUUCAAACUAAAAAUGCCACCUAAAAACAAAAAUGUAGUCAGAAACCUACAGGUAAAUACUUGUAAACAAAGGAAAUAAAAAGAAAAACGAAAUUUAAACACAAAACAAAUAAAAAAUGCAGACGAAUAAUCUGCAAAGGAACUUUUCAUAGCACAGACACUUGCUUGUAUCCUAAGGUCGACAAUCCAUAUAUAUAUAGAACUGAACCACUAUAAGAGUUUAAAUGCAUAGUAGAGUAGCACAAAUGGUGCAGGUUUUCUUCUCCAACUUGUGCCAAAACUUGGCAAAAAAGUGCUUGACAGUACUCAAGUUCCGAAAUCUCUGUUCCUUUACCUAUGCCUAUAGCUAUGUCUACCCCUAUCAAUCAGAACUUGAAAUGUUUAAACCUACCUUAUACACAUACGUUUAUCUGAUACAAUGUCCAGUCUUGAACCCUAAGCAUUAGUCCAAAUUAAUGCUGUUCGACAAAAUGUCAUCAAAUUUAUAAGCUGCAAAAUUAAUUUUUCAAGUAUGCAGUAAAAUCAAAAUGAGAACAAACCCACAACCUCUUGAGAAAUCAUACUUCACAGAUCAUUAACAUCAAUGACACAAAAGUAAAUUGUCAUGAAAUUGGGAAUGAUACAGAGAAUGUGUGAAACUGAAAGAGACAACAACCCGAUUAAAGAGCUAAAAACAGCCCAAUUCCACCAAGCACAACAGUUACUUUUUCUGGUUACACUGAGUAGGGAUUUAUAAAAAAGAAGAUGUGGUAUGAUUGGCAAUGAGACAACUGUCCACAAGAGACCAAAAUGUCACAGACAUUAACAACUAUAGGUCACCGUACGGCCUUCAACAAUGAGCAAAGCCCAUACCGUAUGGUCAGCUAUAAAAGUCCCCGAUAAGACAAUGUAAAACAAUUCAAAAGUUAGUUUUUCGUCUUAGUUAGGCCAAAUAAAAAUAUAUGUGUGGUUUCAGUAACUCUACUGUCCCUACUUUUUCGGCUUAAAAAUAGCCUACCCUAAAGAUUUUAUUGUCAUUUUUCAUUAAGCACUGUUAAAGUCAUAAUGUUGCUCCCAUAGACUCAAUGUAAAAAAAAACAUAAAAUAAAAAAAAAUCCCUACCUACCUACCCAAACUUUUUUUUCAAAUGUAACUGGAACCACACAUACUUUUU